GAGUUUGAUCGUGGCUCAGAUUGAACGCUGGCGGCAUGCUUUACACAUGCAAGUCGAACGGCAGCACGGGGUUUACCCUGGUGGCGAGUGGCGAACGGGUGAGGAAUACAUCGGAACGUGUCUAUAAGUGGGGGAUAACGCAUCGAAAGGUGUGCUAAUACCGCAUAAUCUCUCAGGAGAAAAAGCAGGGGAUCGCAAGACCUUGCGCUUUAGGAGCGGCCGAUGCCUGAUUAGCUUGUUGGUAAGGUAAAAGCUUACCAAGGCUUCGAUCAGUAGCUGGUCUGAGAGGACGACCAGCCACACUGGGACUGAGACACGGCCCAGACUCCUACGGGAGGCAGCAGUGGGGAAUUUUGGACAAUGGGGGAAACCCUGAUCCAGCCAUGCCGCGUGAGUGAAGAAGGCCUUCGGGUUGUAAAGCUCUUUCAGCCGGAACGAAACGGUUACGAUUAAUACUCGUAAUUAAU
rnacentral:rRNA from 1 species